GCCCGCUUGGCUAAGUGGUAUAGCGUGUCACUAGUACCGGACUUCCUCCUCAGUGUCAUGACAAGAUCAGCGGUUCGAUUCCGCUAGUGGGCA